rnacentral:rRNA from 1 species
CCUACGGGAGGCAGCAGUGAGGAAUAUUGGUCAAUGGGCGAGAGCCUGAACCAGCCAAGUCGCGUGAAGGAUGAAGGAUCUAUGGUUUGUAAACUUCUUUUAUAUGGGAAUAAAGUGAGGAACGUGUUCCUUUUUGUAUGUACCAUAUGAAUAAGCAUCGGAUAACUCCGUGCCAGCAGCCGCGGUACUGCGGUGGAUGCGAGCGGUAUCCGGAUUUAUUGGGUUUAAAGGGUGCGUAGGUGGUUAAUUAAGUCAGCGGUGAAAGUUUGUGGCUCAACCAUAAAAUUGCCGUUGAAACUGGUUGACUAGAGUAUAUUUGAGGGAGGCGGAAUGCGUGGUGUAGCGGUGAAAUGCGUAGAUAUCACGCGGAACACCGAUGGCGAAGGCAGCUUACUAAACUAUAACUGACACUGAUGCGCGAAAGCGUGGGGAUCAAACAGGAUUAGAUACCCUGGUAGUC